rnacentral:rRNA from 1 species
UCCUGCGGGAAUUGUAAUUUGAAGGUUUCGUGGUCUGAGUCGGCCGCGCCCAAGUCCAUUGGAACAUGGCGCCUGGGAGGGUGAGAGCCCCGUMYGGCGCACGCCGACUCUUUGCACCGCGGCUCCGACGAGUCGAGUUGUUUGGGAAUGCAGCUCUAAGUGGGUGGUAAAUUCCAUCUAAAGCUAAAUAUUGGCGAGAGACCGAUAGCGAACAAGUACAGUGAUGGAAAGAUGAAAAGCACUUUGAAAAGAGAGUGAAACAGCACGUGAAAUUGUUGAAAGGGAAGGGCUUGCAAGCAGACACGGUUUUACCGGGCCAGCGUCGAAAAGGGGGGAGGAACAAGAACUCGAGAAUGUGGCGCGCACCUUCGGGYGCGCGUGUUAUAGCUCGUGUUGACGCCUCCAUCCYUUUUCGAGGCCUGCGAUUCUAGGACGCUGGCGUAAUGGUUGCAAGCCGCCCGUCUUG